UUCACUUAAUUUCAGCUGUAACCGAAAAUUGUGCAACGCCGCGACCUAAAAUCGAUCGACCCACUGAGUUGCAUCGGGCGAGUCCACUCAGGCCAUGUACACAAGGAGAGCUGCGGUCGUCAGGCUCACUUCUCUGAGACGAGCAAUCAAGGUAUGUCGGAGAAGUCCCUCCGAUUUUUGCUGCUCCGUGGAAAUCCCUAAUUUUGCUAGAAGUUUCAGAGCUGGAGCUGAAACAGCUGACGUUUACAACAAUUUUGAUGGGGAUAGCGCUGAAUAUCAAUCUGGUUACGUGAAAUUUAAUCGAAAUGAUCAGUUUAAUGGAAGGAAUUCAGGGGGAGUUGAGCAGAACCAAAACCCUAGUAGGGUUUAUGGUCAAUUUGGGGCUGAAAGAUUGAAUGUAUCCAAUCCAUAUGGUAAUGGCAGCGGUGGUGUUCAGAACCAAUCGGGUUAUAAUUCUUCGAGUUUCGAUAGUCGGAAUCAUGGCCGGAGUUUUGGUGGGCAGAUGGGAAAUGGAACUUUUCAGCAGAAUGUGAGCUCUAAUGGCAGAGGUUUGGAUGCGACGCCACUUAAUCAUGGCGGAGUGCUUUUAGAGAAUUCGAGGGGAGGUUCUUAUGGUGGGAGGGCGGAUAUGCAGGCGAAAAAUGACGGUGAUACUGGAGUUCAUCCGCAAAAUGUUGCUUGGAGUUAUCAUUUUAAUGCAGGGAACUACCAGAGAACUGUGAGUGAAUCUCAGAGAGUAGUGACGGAUUUUGGAGUAUCGACUGAUUUGGCUAUGAAUGCAGAGAGUCAACCCACUAGCAAACUGGAUGAUCUGGAUCAACUCACAAGGGGUGGGAAAGUGAAGGAAGCAGUGGAGCUGCUGGGGUUGCUUGAGAAGGAGAGGAUCCGAGUUGAUAUACCUCGGUUUAUGGCAUUGGUUAAAUCAUGUGGUGAGAAUGAGGCUUUGACUGAAGCUAAAUCUGUCCACAAGCAUCUUGUGAAGUCGAUCGCUCAUCUUGAAGUCAGAAUGUAUAAUCAGAUAAUUGAGAUGUAUUCCAAAUGUGGUUCUAUGGAAGAUGCUUUUGCAGUCUUUGAUCAAAUUCCUGAACGUAAUCUGACAUCUUGGGAUAUUAUGAUAUCUUGGCUUGCUAAGAAUGGCCAUGGAGAAGAGUCCCUCGAAUUGUUUGCAGAGUUUAAGCAAUCCGGGCUAAGACCUGAUGGACAAAUGUUUCUUGGGGUGUUUUCUGCGUGUGGUGUUAUAAGUGAUGUUGUCGAAGGAAUGCUGCACUUUGAGUCCAUGACGAGAGAUUAUGGUGUCGUUCCUGGUAUGGAGCACUAUGCUAGCAUAGUGGACAUGUUGGGAACUGCUGGGUGUGUAGACGAAGCCAUGGAAUUCAUUCAAAGUAUGCCAGUCGAGCCAUCCGUGGAAAUAUGGGAGACCUUGAUGAAGUUUUGUAGAAUACACGGAAACGUGGUGCUUGGUGAUCAAUGUGCGGAGCUUAUUCAGCUCCUUGAUCCCACACGCCUGAAUGAGCAAUCGAGGGCAGGCCUCAUACCACUGACUGCCAGUGAUAUGAACAAAGAGAAAGAGAAAAAGAAAUCAACUGGUCAAGGUCCCCUCGAUGUUAGGCAUAGGGUCCGCGAAUACAGAGCAGGAGAUAGAUCCCAUCCUGAUAAUGAUAGACUAUACCGAUUGCUGAGGUCAUUGAAGCAGCAUAUGAAAGAGGUUGGAUACAUACCAGAGAUCAAAUGUGUGCUCCAUGAUGUGGACCAUGAAACCAAGGAGGAAGCUCUUAUGGCUCAUAGCGAGAGACUUGCAGCCGCACAUGGUUUCUUGACUUCUCCAGCCCGUGCCUCUAUACGUAUAAUAAAGAAUCUCCGUGUGUGCACCGAUUGCCACAACGUGUUUAAGAUCAUAUCAAAGAUAGUUGGCAGGGAAAUUGUUGCACGAGACAGCAAGAGAUUUCAUCAUUUUAGAGAUGGAUCGUGUAGUUGUAAUGAUUUUUGGUGAAAGAGACUGCUUGAUUUGAGAUUAUUCAGGAAUUUUACCUUAUUGUUCUCUGUCAUAAACAGAUAAAGCUUAGUGCUCUUGAAACGUGACAGGAUUCUAUCAAGACCUGAUACAUGGAAGUAAAUGGCUAUGGUGUGCGGAUGAAAGGGGAGAUGGAAAAUGCCGGUUUUUUGGGAAACUUACUUUCACAACGGUUGACAGAUUACCGAGCACCAUGUCGACGUAUGUCGAGUGGGGAUAAGAGGAGAGGAUAGUGGAGUUUAAGAGGAAAGGGCUCAUAUAAUCAUUGCUGCCAAUGCUGAACAUGUAAAC